UACAAAUAAUGACGGAAAAGUGGAUUACAUUUGGUGGCUACCGGUGACCUAGCCAAGCGCUCCCACCCAACCAUGGGUGCCCUCGAGGUGCUGCAGGGCACCACCCAUUCUCUGUCGGCAGGAGCCCCCUCCUCGCGACUACGGCGGUUUCAUCUCCCCCACUGGGAAUGUUUACUCACACAUUGUGGGGAUUACAAAGGUUUAAUAAAUAUCCCUUUAAGACCGAAACCUGGCCGCCGUCUUCAACAUUUACGCGGUCAAAGCAGGGGAUUUUGUUUUGCUGGAAAACGGUACAGGCGCCGCGGAAACUAUGCUCUACCAGUCAUGUAUUGGUAGAGCUCGCAUGGAAACGCGGCCCUCAAAGGAACACACGCGAUGCGUAUGUGUAUGGUCACCUAAUCCUGAGGAGCUCCAAGGGAAAAGAAGGGACAGGCCGAAAAGGCAAACAACGAGGACAAAUAAGGCUCUCGGGACUAACUCCGGAUAAAUUCACAAACAGGGAAGUAGAUAUCAAUAUAUAUAAUCAAGGUACACGUGUAUUUAAUUUUUCUAAAUUUUAGCCACUAUUGGGCCGGGCCUGGAGGCAAUGAUAGCCCGGGCGGAAGGCUUCUCGCCGGAGGCCAGCAGUGAUCCGGAUCUCCACACAGGAAAAAGGCGCUAUCCGGUGAGUUAUGCAAUGGCAGUCCGAGAUUCGGCUGCCAGACAAAAUGGCGAUCCUUCUCAGCGCCGCAAUGCGACCGCUGGAAGUUCCCGAGAGGAGGAUGACGCGGUACGCCGGAACGGACUCACCGGGAAAUGUUGACGUCGUCGUCGACUGUGAAAGGCUCCUCUUGCUGGUCGCUGAUACGGGUCGAACGGACACCGUUUGCUGGGCAGCCAAGUCGGACUCGCAGGUAUGGCGAAGUCGUGCAGAUGUCAGCAGAUCUCCAAUAAAUCUUCCGGGGCCCUUUGUAUUGGGACCCCGGUUGCUAUUUUUAAUUCACAAAGAAAAUUUAUACUCUCACUCCUAGCUGCAUCUGCCUUGAUUGUUGGACAGUAGGCCGCGACUAUCACGAUAUCUGCUGAUCAUCGCCCCCCGCCAUAUUACAUGGCCUCUCUGAGCAUUGGGUCAUUGGAUACAUGGGCCAUUUGAAGUAAUCCCAGAGCGAACCGGGAUUAAUCUUCAAAUGGCCAGAUCGCCCGCCAGACUCAUCCCGCUGCUGCAGCUAUCGCCCUAUCGACCUAACCUAUCGAUAACGUCGCUCCCACUCGACUCCAAUUGCAACACACUAGAGGAUCCCAGUGGGAAGGAACAUGCCGAGUGGGACUUUGCUCGCUACGUGGACAUCCUGCCGGGCGUGUCCUGGCAAAGAAACAGAACCUCAGUAAUAUGAUCUCCGAAGACCU